rnacentral:snoRNA from 1 species
AUCGAAUGAUGAUAACACUUGGUCCGUGUUUACGACGUGGCUUCAAGACCCACGAGAUGAUCUAAAACCAAAUAUUUUCAUAUACCUCUGACUAU